CAGAGACUGCAAGCGUUAUUCGGAUUCACUGGGCGUGAAGGGUGCGCAGGCGGUUGGGUGUGUCAGAUGUGAAAUCCCGAGGCUUAACCUCGGAACUGCGUCUGAAACUACUCGACUAGAGUACUGGAGAGGGUAACGGAAUUCACGGUGUAGCAGUGAAAUGCGUAGAUAUCGUGAGGAACACCAGAGGCGAAGGCGGUUACCUGGACAGUUACUGACGCUCAGGCACGAAAGCAUGGGGAGCAAAAGGGAUUAGAUACCCCUGUAGUCCAUGCCCUAAACGGUGCACACUAGGUCUUAGCGGAUUCGACCCCACUAGGGCCCAAGCUAACGCGUUAAGUGUGCCGCCUGAGGACUACGGUCGCAAGACUA
rnacentral:rRNA from 1 species